rnacentral:rRNA from 1 species
UAAGGGUUACAGCCUUAUACAUGCAGUCGACGAACUCUGGUAUUGAUUGGUGCUUGCAUCAUGAUUUACAUUUGAGUGAGUGGCGAACUGGUGAGUAACACGUGGGAAACCUGCCCAGAAGCGGGGGAUAACACCUGGAAACAGAUGCUAAUACCGCAUAACAACUUGGACCGCAUGGUCCGAGCUUGAAAGAUGGCUUCGGCUAUCACUUUUGGAUGGUCCCGCGGCGUAUUAGCUAGAUGGUGGGGUAACGGCUCACCAUGGCAAUGAUACGUAGCCGACCUGAGAGGGUAAUCGGCCACAUUGGGACUGAGACACGGCCCAAACUCCUACGGGAGGCAGCAGUAGGGAAUCUUCCACAAUGGACGAAAGUCUGAUGGAGCAACGCCGCGUGAGUGAAGAAGGGUUUCGGCUCGUAAAACUCUGUUGUUAAAGAAGAACAUAUCUGAGAGUAACUGUUCAGGUAUUGACGGUAUUUAACCAGAAAGCCACGGCUAACUACGUGCCAGCAGCCGCGGUAAUACGUAGGUGGCAAGCGUUGUCCGGAUUUAUUGGGCGUAAAGCGAGCGCAGGCGGUUUUUUAAGUCUGAUGUGAAAGCCUUCGGCUCAACCGAAGAAGUGCAUCGGAAACUGGGAAACUUGAGUGCAGAAGAGGACAGUGGAACUCCAUGUGUAGCGGUGAAAUGCGUAGAUAUAUGGAAGAACACCAGUGGCGAAGGCGGCUGUCUGGUCUGUAACUGACGCUGAGGCUCGAAAGUAUGGGUAGCAAACAGGAUUAGAUACCCUGGUAGUCCAUACCGUAAACGAUGAAUGCUAAGUGUUGGAGGGUUUCCGCCCUUCAGUGCUGCAGCUAACGCAUUAAGCAUUCCGCCCGGGGAGUACGGCCCCAAGGCUGAAACUCAAAGGAAUUGACGGGGGCCCGCCCAAGCGGUGGAACCAGUGGGUUUAAUUCGAAGCUACCCGAAAAACCUUACCAGGCUUGGAAUACAAUGCAAAUCAAAAAAAUAAAACUUCCCUUCGGGACAUGGAUACGGGGGGGCCAGGGUUUCCCCCCUCCGGGCCCGGAAAUUUGGGUUAAAUCCCAAAAAAGGGGAACCCUUUAUUAAAUUUGCGCCACUUAAAUUUGGGCCCUCUGGAGAAAACGCCGGGGACACCGCGGAAAAGGGGGGGGGAAACCCAAAAAUAAAUGGCCCUAUAAAUUGGGGGACACCACUGCGCCAGAGGGGGGUGACAAGUAUUGGACACUCGCAAGAAAAGUAAUCUCUAUAAAGUCUCUUCCCUUUGGGAGGAGGGCGGCCGCCUCUCACAGAAAGAAAAGAACCUUCUCGCGUUAGAAGAGUGCCCGCGAUGAAAUUUCCGCCGGUUUUGAACCCCCCCGCCCCCACAAUUUUGGGCAACCAGCGGGGGUGAUUUAAUUUCCAUGGAAGA